rnacentral:rRNA from 1 species
AGUCGAGCGGUAGAGAGAAGCUUGCUUCUCUUGAGAGCGGCGGACGGGUGAGUAAUGCCUAGGAAUCUGCCUGGUAGUGGGGGAUAACGUUCGGAAACGGACGCUAAUACCGCAUACGUCCUACGGGAGAAAGCAGGGGACCUUCGGGCCUUGCGCUAUCAGAUGAGCCUAGGUCGGAUUAGCUAGUUGGUGAGGUAAUGGCUCACCAAGGCGACGAUCCGUAACUGGUCUGAGAGGAUGAUCAGUCACACUGGAACUGAGACACGGUCCAGACUCCUACGGGAGGCAGCAGUGGGGAAUUUUGGACAAUGGGCGCAAGCCUGAUCCAGCAAUGCCGCGUGCAGGAUGAAGGCCUUCGGGUUGUAAACUGCUUUUGUACGGAACGAAAAGACUCCUUCUAAUAAAGGGGGUUCAUGACGGUACCGUAAGAAUAAGCACCGGCUAACUACGUGCCAGCAGCCGCGGUAAU